rnacentral:rRNA from 1 species
GACGAACGCUGGCGGCGUGCCUAAUACAUGCAAGUCGAACGCUUUUUCUUUCACCGGAGCUUGCUCCACCGAAAGAAAAGGAGUGGCGAACGGGUGAGUAACACGUGGGUAACCUGCCCAUCAGAAGGGGAUAACACUUGGAAACAGGUGCUAAUACCGUAUAACAAUAGAAACCGCAUGGUUUCUAUUUGAAAGGCGCUUUUGCGUCACUGAUGGAUGGACCCGCGGUGCAUUAGCUAGUUGGUGAGGUAACGGCUCACCAAGGCGACGAUGCAUAGCCGACCUGAGAGGGUGAUCGGGCACAUUGGGACUGAGACACGGCCCAAACUCCUACGGGAGGCAGCAGUAGGGAAUCUUCGGCAAUGGACGAAAGUCUGACCGAGCAACGCCGCGUGAGUGAAGAAGGUUUUCGGAUCGUAAAACUCUGUUGUUAGAGAAGAACAAGGAUGAGAGUAAAAUGUUCAUCCCUUGACGGUAUCUAACCAGAAAGCCACGGCUAACUACGUGUCAGCCGCCGCCGUAA